AGCCGAGCUCACACCACUGCACUCCAGCCUAGGUGACAGAGACUCCAUCUCAAAAAAACAAAAAAAAUGCAUUUCAAGUUUAGCGUUCAGCCUCCACAAGGUAGUGCAUACCCUUUCAGUUGUACUGUAAAAUUUCCCAAGCUUUUUCAGAGAACCUCUUAACCCUCACAGAAGUGGGAAAACAAUGGAACAGAGGCCAGGAGUCCCAAGUUCAGGUUUUGCAGGCUCCAGGUAAGCUGCCUGGUCUAACGGAAGAUGAGGCGUUCGCACCAGGCGGCUCUGCUGCAGCUCAGCGGGCGAGGGGACCUCGAGCAGGUUCUCGCGUUUUCUGGCGGAUCCUUCCGAGCCUGCUACUGCAAGGCCCUCGUAGGUGGAAGCAGGCUCGUUGUCGCCUUUCACACCACGAGCUUUUCCUUUCCAUGGUCAGAUGGACUGAGGAAGUUACCAGCGAUGGGUGUAAGGCCCAAGACACCGCAGAAAGUUACAGAAUGGAAAAUGAGGGGCAGAGAGAAAAGAGGGUCUGAGAGGAAUGCAAGCAUUCUGGAACAUAGUAAGGGACACCCCACCAGUGACACUUCUUGGGAACAGUCACUGCCUUAGAAACACCAGACCAGGAGAAUUUUCUGACCAGCACCUCAAAGGCAGCCCAUGAAGAUGGCGGUUAGGAAGGAGACGGUCUAGCAGCAUCACCAAAUUGCCCCCGACCUAGCCUCUCCAUCAGCCACCAGGUUAACGAGAUUUCUUUCCUCCGUGUGGACCGGGGUCUUUCCUCUUGGAGUCUGACUUUAAUAAAACAAUUAGGUUGUUCCUUUUGAAAUAACCAUGGCUUUUAGCCGAAUUUUAUGCUACUCUGAAUAAACAAUUUUGCUCAAAAGAUUUUAGCCAAUUCCA